UGGAUAAUUUCAACUACCACAUGAUGCCCUAUGAAUUAAUUGACAUACUUGAGCUCGUCUUAGGAAUAUAUUCUCAGUGAACAAAAACGAAUUCAGUAAAUGUUUACUAUAAAAACAGACAACAGACUUGCUGUCUUGAAUACAUUUGUGGCUUGUAUUGUUUAAUUCAUUUUUAAAGCAACAUUUGAUCGAUUGUUGGUUGCUUAACGUCCAGUGGCAAACAUUUCAUGCAUAUUCUAGACGAGAAGUAGUUUUAGAAAUUAUUAGGUUUAACAAAUGUUGAAAUGCUCUCAUCAUUUUUCAAAAGGAUAUUUU
rnacentral:lncRNA from 1 species